AGCUACCGUAAUAUCCGGGUAUUAUGACGUUUUUUUGUUGCCAUAAUUGAGUUCUAUUUAAUGGCGAUUUUUGUUGAUUCUGGCGGUUUUAAAACGCCGUUAUCACUGCUAUCCAAAAAAUUCUAACCCUAAUCCAAUUCUACUUUUGUUGAAAUGCAAAGGCUCACUGCUACAGAGAUCUUCUCUGUGACGAUCUUCUCUGACCGAGCUCCUCCUCCGACGACCUCCUUUGACCAAUUUCCUUCGGCGACGACCUCCUCCAACGGCGACCUCAUUCAGUGACGUCUUCCUCAGCGGCGACCUUUCCUAGUGACCUCUUUUCCAACGACAAUCUCCUCCUGCGACGGUCUCCUCCGGCAACAUCUCCUAUUGAGAUGAUCUCCUCCGGUGGCAUUCUCCUACGCCGGCAAUCUCGUCCAUCAAGCUACUGUGUUGUGAGAUUCUUCUCCCACAAGCUCGCUAGAAUACAUGAUAGAUUUUGCGAAAUGGCAACUACAACUACUAAAAUUGCAGGAGCUAGGGUUUCUGAGGAAGGGAUCGUUGAAACAUUUCAUAAUGAUGAUGAUGAAGCACUCGAUGCUGCGGAGAAUGGAGUUGUGGACAAGAAAAACAGAUUUUAUAUCGUUUUUGCUUUAGCUGAUACCAAGAUAGAUCUUAAAGUGCUAUCUCAGCAGCUUGGUUUAGGAAAAGGGGGUCUUAGAAUGGCACCUGGAGAGGCUUUGAGUGAAAUACUUCAAGGAACAGCGUCGGUGGUCCUUGCCGGACUUGUCGCAACCCUGAAAUUGGUCUGAGAAAACUUAGCUGAUCACAGUUUCCUCUUCUUUGGGGCUGAAGAGGUCACCUUAGUGUGCUUUGGAGAAGAGUGAUAAUUAGGCCACCAGAUAAUGAAGAUCUACGAGAGAUAGUCAAACUGAAAUAUCCCUCUUUAGAGAUCCAUGUUGACAAAAUUAUAAGUAGUUAUACUAUAUUGGAGCUACUUAGAUGUUUGUUGGGAGAAAGAAGGGAUUGAUGGAGAGAAAAGCAUAGCCUUGAGAAAAACUAAGUCUCAAUUUUUUACAAACAGUUCUGCCUGUAAAUUAAAAUUAGGAGAUCUUAAAGGAGCAUUAUUUGAUUCUAAGUUUGCACUGUGUGGAGAGGACAACAAUGUCAAAGCAUUAUUCCGGCAAGGACAGGUUGAUAUCUGAAUUGAGGAGGUUUUUUUUGCUAUAUUUUAUUAAAUCUAUCUCACUUUCCUUUAUGAUAACUGUGUGGUUUUGGAUUUACUAGGCACAUAUGGCACUCUAUGAAAUAGAUGCUACAACUAAAAACUUUAAAAAUGCACUAGUCUUAGAGCCAAAUGAUGGUAAAUUGUGAUUUUGUGUAAGACCUUAGUUAGACAAGAACUAUUAGUAUAUUUAUAUAAGUAGACAUUUAAUUUUGUCAUC